UUUCACUUUCCCUUUUCCCACAACUUAAUACCUUUUCACAAAACCCUUUGGGUCGAUUUUGUCCACUGGCGCUUGUAUCUCGCUAAAACCCUAACCUUUAGGGUGAAGUUGGAUAUCUUUUUAUUGACAUUCUCUCGUGUAUGAUUCACACCGGCGUUUCUUUCAUAUCUUCAUCUAUCGUUUGAGGAGUAUGGAAAGCGGCAAUGAUAGGAGUUGGAUGUACAAUCGUAUCAAUGAUAGAAGGCAAUUAACUCGAGCCUUCCUUGAGGGUUUGGAAACGUUCAUCCAGUUUGCUUGGGAGAGAAGAGUACCACAAAGUAAGGAUAUCAGUUGUCCAUGUGUGAAGUGUAAGUGUAUGAAAUUUCAAAGUACGGACCACGUCAGGGUGCAUCUGUGUCGCAAGGGCUUCAUGGAGGGUUAUGAAUGUUGGCAUCACCAUGGGGAGAUUCGACAGACGCCAUCGUAAUGAAGUGAUUACUUCGUUAAUUGGCUGAUCUAGUUGACUCCCAUCUCCUCUGAAGCUGAUAGACUAGGAAAGCAAUGACGUUGUUGAAGAUUGAUAAGUUUAGAUGCAUUGCCUUGCUUAUUUUCUUCUUCGAAAACCCGCAAUAUUGGGAGAAAUGGAUUGAGGAUGAGGUGUGAAGGAUUAGGUCACGUGAUAUGCUAAUGGAAGUGGAUGAAAUUUUAACGGAUGUAGUUAAUUGUUGAAAGUACAAGUAGGUAAAUUAGUUUAAUUGAAAAUACAAGAGGGUAUUUUAAAACGCUACUAAAGUAUAAGAGGGUAAAUUGUAAUUUAGCCUUAAAAUUUUAAUUGAAAACUGCACUACAGCCUAGUUAUCCCCUUCGAGUAAAGAAAACAGAAAAUGGAAAAAGACUAAUAUUAAAAUAUACUUUACAACAAUACAUUGAAUGUAAACGAGACUUGGUAAAAUGGAAUAUUAAUAAGUAAUAA